rnacentral:tRNA from 5 species
GCGCCCGUAGCUCAGCUGGAUAGAGCGUUGCCCUCCGAAGGCAGAGGUCACAGGUUCGAAUCCUGUCGGGCGCGCCA